GCCCCAGAAAUCUUUACCCCACCCUCCUCACGCUCCCCCACAGUCUGUCUUCACCCCACCCUCCUAAUUCUCCCCCGCAGGAUUAGUCAAGAUAAAAACAUUUAUAAACCUGCUGGGAAGGAAGAAGUGCUGUUAUUCUGAUUAGAUCAUGUUUUGGAGGGAGGGGGUGAAGACGGGAGCCUUUUGAGAGUAUAACUUAGCCUAUCCUGGGAGUGUGACUUGUGCUCUUUUUUUUUUUUUUUUUUUUUCUAGCACAGGUGAGUCUGGUCUCUCCUCUCAUUAGAAUAAUAUCCAAGAUUUCGGUUUAGGCAUAGAAGAAAUAGACAAAGCAAGGCUUUCAGCCAAACUUGUAUGGAAAAAGAAUCUUCUUUCAGGUGCUGCUAAGAAACCAAGAACAUUAUUUCCCUGGAUGAAAUGAGAGAACCAUCUGUGGAAGUGGUUGAACUGUGAUGGAGAAUGAGCUCCUGGGAACAAGAAAGUCAGAAAUUCAUGAACAGGAAAGAAAAAUUAAUAUUUGAUGAACAACUGAAUUCCUCACUGCCUGUUGCCCUGGGACACAGGGAGCUGUCUCACCAAGGUUACAGCUCCUUCUUGGAGCGGCUCACAACCAAUGAGGAGCUGAUACAGGGAUCCAAAGAUGAGGAAACUGGAGUCCAAAGAAGAGUUUAAAAAUGCAAAUCAGGGCCGGGCACGGGGGCUCAUACCUGUAAUCCCAGCACUUUGGGAGGCCAAGGUGGGUAGAUCAUGAGGUCAGGAGUUCGAGACCAGCCUGGCCAACCUGGUGAAACACCGUCUCUAUUAAAAAUUAAAAAAUUAGCCAGGUUCAGUGGCAUGUGCCUGUGAUCCCAGCUACUCAGGAGGCUAAGACAGGAGAAUCGCUUGAAUCCGGGAGGCAGAGGUUGCAGUGAGCUGAGUUCACCCUACUGCACUCCAGCCUGGGCAAUAGAGCAAGACUCCUUCUUGGUGGAGGGGGGGAACACAACUUAGUACCAGAGCCAAGACCACAACCAGACCUCCUUUGUUCCUAGCCAGUGGUCUUUACCCAGCAUUUCCAAAGCCUGUGUUCUAUAUGAUGAUAAUAGAUAUUCCAUGUAUAAAAGUUUCCAUCAACAAGCAAGUUUAUAAAACACUGGAUUAAGAUUAAAGAGACAUCUUUUGCAGAGCUCUUCAGAGACUUUUAUGUGCAACAGGAGUCUCCAAGACAGGGAUAUAAUAUGAAACAUUGCACAAAAGUAUUUGAUGUGGGACCCUUUUGCAGGAGCAUAUUAAGCGUCUCUCAGAACUCUUUCAGAAAUGCCACUCUAAACACUGCCCCAGGGUGAUGGAAGUUUCCAUGGGUUUUGAUCUGUGGGGUGUGGUUGUUUUUAUUCUAAAUUAGAAGCAAAUAUAUUAUUUCCACUAGUCCUUUCUGUCAGCAUCCCUGUCCCAGCUGACUUGUGAGCCUGAGGAUAUAAAGAUAAUGAAAACCAGACUCCAGGAAAAGCACACUUGUUUAGAGUCACCCAGCUGCAUCCAUAAGGCAGAUGCAAUAUGCCUCUCUCCCAAGAGUAGAACACAGACAAAACAUACACUAGGAUCCCAAAAUUCUUUCCAUUCUGGGUAAUUUGCUCACAGACAUCACAUUGCAAAAGUAAUAGCCAAAGUCCCCUAUAAAGUCACAUAAGAAGCUGGGAAAUCAGGAUUCUUAUCUCAGCACCUUCAUUUAUUAGCUGU
rnacentral:lncRNA from 10 species